rnacentral:rRNA from 1 species
CUUGACUGUAGCCUGGAAUUGGGUUCGGGCUUUUCUUGCGCAGACUAGGUGGGAGGCUAUGAAGAUUUCCUUCCGGGGAAGUUGGAGCCAACAGUGAGAGACCACUCUGGAAAGGCUAGAAUCCUCAUGGUGAUCCUUGAAUCAGGACACUUGACAGUUUCAGGCGGGCAGUUUUUCUGGGGCGGAAACCUCAUAAAAGGUAACUGAGGUGCGCAAAGGUUCCCUCAGUCUGGACGGAAAUCAGACAACGAGUGUAAAGGCAAAAGGGGGCUUGACUGCAAGACCUACAAGUCGAGCAGGAGCGAAAGCUGGCCUUAGUGAUCCGACGGUACCGCGUGGAAGGGCCGUCGCUCAACGAAUAAAAGUUA